CAAAUCCGGGAUCUGUGUCACUGUGGGAGCUGGGUGGCCCUCAGGGACAAGGUUUGUCUCUGCAUGGAUUGUUCUGCACUGGCUGAGAAGCAGAGUUCCUGGGAAGGGGAGAAGUUUUUCACCUGCCCCAGGUGAAUUUGCUGAGAGGACCCAUCCGGUGUGCUCUCCAGGACCACGUGGAUGUGAGCAGUGAACAAUUCCCAAGCUCUGCCCAGGCCUCUGCUUUUGUGCUUGCCUUGGCACGGGGCCACGGCGUGAGUCACAAGCCACUCGCUUUUUGUUUAAUGUCCCCAUUCCGGCUCUGCCGACUCGCUCAGAGGAAAGUUAAUUCAUAAACCCUACCAAUAUUAACUGCCCCAGAAGGAAGAGGAGGAGGAGGAGGAGAAGCCAGGCUGUUUGCCUUCACCACCACCCCAGUGACCCAUUUGAUGUCGCCUGCUGGUGUGGCUGUGUCUUCCACACUGGUCUUUGGGUGACGGUGUGACAAUCUAGGACAAUGUGACAAUCACAGCAUCUCUGUGACAGCCAUAGGACCUAUGUGACAGCCCUGGAAGAAAUGUGGGCAUGGUUGUUGUCUCCCCUGGGUGGGUUCAGGCCUUGGUGCAGGCCCUGGUGCAGGCCUUGGUGCAGGCCCUGGCGCAGGCCCUGGCACAGGCCCUGCACACCAACAAAGAAUUCCUGGGAACAUAAAGGAGGAGCACAGCCCCCUGGACAUGGAAGAUGCCCAGAGGAGUCAGCACACAGGUCCCCAGCCCCUGGGGAUGUCUCUGACAGCUGGAAGGUCUCCCAUCCGCCUGGUCUCAGUCCAUCUUGGCCUCUGGAUGACAAGGGUGGUAAUAAUACCAAGAGCCACAUGACAGAGCCCACCACAGCACAUUCCAGAGAACAUCCCAGGGCUCCUUCCCAGCCACCCUGCUGAGAUGAGCCCAUUUGGACCAAGGACACCCAAACCCAGCAGUUGCUCCUGAAGGGAGCACAGCACCUUCAGAUCCCCCUCCAACAGGAAUUUGGUGUACAGCACAGUCACACCCCUGCACAGGAGAUUCCCUUGAACCUUCCUGGAAACCCAACCAUUUUCUUGUCCGCCAUUCCCGUUAUUUUUCUGGUUUUAUUUUAAUCUCCUGUCUGUUAUUGUUCGUUUUUCCUUUGAGCAAAUUUCUCUGAGUGUCCAAGAAUAGAAGACACAUCAGAUAAUACUGGGAAGGAAGUGAGAAUGCCUAGGAUUACUGGAUAUAUUAAAUCAAACCCAUUUCAUCA